UAGGGUAACCUGCCUUAUAGUGGGGGAGUAGCCUUUCGAAAGGAAGAUUAAUACCGCAUAAGAUUGUAGUAUCGCAUGAUAUAGCAAUUAAAGGAGCAAUCCGCUAUAAGAUGGACCCGCGUCGCAUUAGCUAGUUGGUGAGGUAAUGGCUCACCUAGGCGACAAUCCCUAGCUGGUCUGAGAGGAUGACCAGCCACACUGGAACUGAGACACGGUCCAGACUCCUACGGGAGGCAGCAUG
rnacentral:rRNA from 1 species